GAAGUGCUGGGAUUACAGGUGUAAGCCACCGCAGGCUUUUUGCAAGCAGUUCUCCUGCUCAGCCCACUGUCCCUGGACUCUCCCCUGUAUCUAAGCCCCCAAUAAAACCCUAUUACCUUGUUUGCUGGCUCUCGGUCUCUUCUUCCGCAUCUUGAACCUGGUGCCAUCCCCACUGGAGUCAAUAGAGGUUUGGCACAAUACUGUGCUCUCCUGUGCCUCGGCCUCCUCAUCGUGCUAUGGGCCACUGUGAGGACAGAACUGGCCUUCAAAGGGAGCAACGCAGGCAGCACCCCAGUGGGCUAUGGGGCAGCUGGGCUUCACAGAGUUCCUGGUAGCAUUUGGGGCUCUUCCUGUCAGCCCUACAGCCUGGAGCUGAGACAGUACCCUUAGAGUCUGUGGUCAUUUCAGUUUGGGUCCCACUAUGAGAAUCUGUUCAUCACUGGUGGCUAUGCACUGUAAUUAUCUUCUGUGAAGUGAUAGUUCUUGUGACUUGCUAUUUCUCUGCCCUGCGUGGCCAACGGAGCCCCACGUGUUCUCUGAAGACCCCUAGCCCUUUCAUACACCUGGACUUGGGUCCAGGCCAUCGUGGUCCUCCCCUGCACACAGAGGGACCCUGGCCAAGAAGUGAGCCUGAAGUUGGAUGAACAUAGCAGCAGAGGUCAGGCUGGUCACGCUUGCUGCUCCUCCAACUUGCCUUCCCAGAUGCACGAGUCUUCUGCUGGUACCCCAGAGGCUGCAUCCAGGCUCUGAGAACACUGAGGCCUUGAGGGACUGCACCGUCUGGCUGCUCACGGAGC